rnacentral:rRNA from 1 species
GCUAAACGCGAAGAACCUUACCAGGCCUUGACAUGCUGAGAACCUGCCAGAGAUGGCGGGGUGCCUUCGGGAACUCAGACACAGGUGCUGCAUGGCUGUCGUCAGCUCGUGUCGUGAGAUGUUGGGUUAAGUCCCGCAACGAGCGCAACCCUUGUCAUUAGUUGCUACGAAAGGGCACUCUAAUGAGACUGCCGGUGACAAACCGGAGGAAGGUGGGGAUGACGUCAAGUCCUCAUGGCCCUUAUGGCCAGGGCUACACACGUACUACAAUGGUCGGUACAGAGGGUUGCCAAACCGCAAGGUGGAGCCAAUCCCAGAAAGCCGAUCCCAGUCCGGAUCGGAGUCUGCAACUCGACUCCGUGAAGUCGGAAUCGCUAGUAAUCGCGGAUCAGCUAUGCCGCGGUGAAUACGUUCCCGGGUCUUGUACACACCG